GGUGUGGCCGGACAUCCGGGGCUUUCCACCCUCGGAGAGAGGCGGGCUUGAGGUGGGGGAGAUGGAAGGAUGUCAUACCCAAUGGCAAUCAAGGCCUUUGGCCUCGCGGCAGAUUGGCAGGUACUUGAACCACUGAAGCGCCGCAGAGGGAUACAGGUGCUCUGGCAGUGAUUGGUUCAGUUCGCGGGUGGGUGGUUUUCUCCGUGCGUUGGUUCCUCACAGCGGGUAAAUCGGGCACAGCAGAUAUAAGUAACACGGCGGUUCCCUGGACUCACUGGGACCGGAACUGUCUCACAGCUGCCAGCGCUCCCCACCACCAUGGGAACCCCCAUGCUGAAGAUGAAAAGCCAAACUGACCAGCCUCUGCAACCCCAAGCAUCACCAUGUGAGGACAGCGUGGUGUGGUGCCGCGGGGACCCCACGCAGUGCCUCGAGGGGCAACCACGUGCAGGGGGCAGAGGUGGGGGGGAGCAAGCAGAUGCCGCCAGCAUGCCUGGGAGCCACAGGGAGCAAGCGGGCUGGGCAGUGAUGGGAAUGAACGUGAACUCCAGUCCCGCCCCAUGAAGUCCUCCAGCCCCUCCUCUCAAUUCAGGGCACCAGGUGGUAACUGCAGGGUGCAGAGGAGUCAGGGACUCUUCCCUCAUCCCAAGAGCAGCACCUUGGGCCUCCAUCCCACGGAACAGCCAAGGGUGGGUUGGUGGUCUAGAGACCUCCGAAGAUCUAGUGGGGAAGGAUGGGGUAGCAGGGGGGUCUACUCUCUAAGGGGAAGGGAUUUCCCCCCCCCUUUGCCAAGGUCCCAGCUCUGGACGUGGGUGGCAGUGGCAGUUUCACCCUCAGCCUGAGGCCUGGUCUUUCCUGUCCUAAGAGGCCCUCCAGAUCCAUCUGUUUGAGCAACCUCUGUCCCCAGGGACCUUCAAGGGCUGGCAGGUGUGUCCAGCCCCUCUAGCCUCUGUCCAGGGACCGCAACCUUUUUCUGCAAAGGGCCAGAUACUAUUUAGAUUUGGGAAGGCAGUGUGGUCUCUGCUGCAGUGACUCACCUCAGCCACUGUGGCGUGAAGGGGCACAGACCACAGAAAAAUGGGUGAGUGUGGUGUUCCUGUUGUUCCUGCCACGCUGGGUUGACACGGCCAGGCGGGGGAUCAGGUGUGGCCCGGCCAUCGUCUGCCAACCCUUGCCCUGAUCCUAAGAACCUGCCUGUCCCACAGCUUGGGAGCACGGACCGCUGUCAGGGUAUCUGCUGGGCACUGUGCAGAAGCUGCCUCACCUUCUCAGGGUCAGACCUGACAAGGCCACAGGGUGAUGACAUCCACAUUCCCGAAGCCUGAGUUCCCAGGGUGACAGUGCCCCCAGCCUCCGAGGGGCACUAGCACCCCAACCUGCUGGCCCAUUGGGCCCCUCCAGGAACUCAGGGACUUAACGCCCCUCCAAGAACCUCUGCCCCUGGACGGGAGCUUUUCUGCCAGUGAUUCCUGGUGCUUGAGAAGAAUGAGGAGGGCACAGGUGGAAAAUGUAUGAAUCGGUUAUGAAGGCAAUGGAGGAGGGGAGGUUGAGGCCGGUCAGUUGUGUUGGGGGCAUGUUAGCACACAGUAGGAGGGGAGCACCACUAGUCUAAGAAAUCAGUGUCCUUACCAAAAGGAUUUGCAAGAAUAUGUGUGGCUCAGGACCUAAGGAACUUGCUACAGGGAAGUGAGGUCAGAGGUCAGCUCAAUCCUGAAAUAUAAAUGCAGCAAACCUGGUCAUGCCAAGAGGCAGCAUCCUUAGCACCUGAGGACCCAGGGCUCCUGCUAGGGUCUUCCUCCUGGCUGUGCUUACACUGCCGCCCCCACCCACCCAGGGAGAAGCACUUUCCUGCUCAGGGUCGAGAGAGCUGAUGCCAGCACCAGGCGGGGAGACAGGGCCUGUCACCGGCAGAGCAGCUCUGAGGCUAGAGGGCCGCCUGCUGGCUGGCCUAGCAUGCAGUCAUGAAAGGGCGGUUGAGUUCUGAUUCGGAAAUCAUAAACCUCCUCUUCCGCUCGGACCCUAGACUGCUUGCUUCUGCUGACGAGUAGGGGGUGAUUCCCAUGAGCUGCUCUGGGUUGCCAGGCUGGGAAAAUGGCACAACCACCACCUAGACUUCUGCCUUAAAUAAAGGAGUCCAGGCCACGCUGCAGAAGGGCAGCGAUGUGGGUGAGGGCCAGGAGCCUGCUGGGCCUGGUGCACGUGACUGUGCCUCUGCUGAGGCGCCCCCAUCUUCCCCACUGCGCCCAGCGCACCCCUUCCCACCCAGCGCCCAGCGGCUGUGCAGGGGGUGUCCAGAUGGGAAGGGGGAGCCCAAUUCCAACAACAGGAAGCCACAGGCGCACCGCCCGGAGCUACAAGGCGCUGCUGCAGGUGCCAGCCUGGGAGGCCACAGAAUGAUGAACACCAGGAAUCUGCUGUGUCCCGGAGAAACUGAGAAGUCGGCUCUGCUGGGGACUCCAUGUGUGAGUGACAGCUGGGUCUGUUCCAGGCUCUUUCCUGGCAUCUCAUUUCUUUAGAUGAGGGCAGUGGGGUGUGGAGGGGUGUGGGAUGCAGUAAAUAGGCUGUGUCCCCCAUCACCAGUGGCCUCCCCCUGGUCAGUUUUAGGGAGGGGUUCCAGGGGCAUGCGAGCCUGGCUGACCAGGACAAGAAAGAACCCCUAAACUGGGAAGGUGGGGUGGUGGUUGGGCGGAGCUUACUGUAGGAGCCCCACCUCCUUUCUGGGCCCUUCUGCCAAGCGGCAGGAGCAUGAAGGGCUCAGAGGGGCACCCCCAGCCCUGGGAGCCCGCCCGGCGCCCGCAAAGGGGCUGCAGCCUACCUCUGCUCCUCCUCCAGCUCUUCUUUGGUCAUCAUCUUCUUGUACUGGUUUCCCCUCAGCUUCCCCGGGCUAUAUUUGAAGGAGAAGCCUUCUCCUGCGGAGAGGGGGCCGGGUCAGUGCUAGGGAGCGCUGUAGAAGCUGGGUCCCCACAAACCCCACCCCCGCUUUCCAUAGGUUUAAAAAGGACACCUCAGGCAGAGGCCACAUCGGCUGUCAGAGACAUUUUCGCACCCCAGCGCCUACACCCCUUCUCAUUCCAUAGCGUUCCCUUAAAUCCUACAAUGAGACAGCCAGAGAGAAAGCAGUCCCGCACCUAGCCCACGCCUGUCUCCAGAUGCCCAUCCCUCCCGGCAUCUGCAGCACUCUGCCUGCCCUGGCCCUGCCCAGCGGGUCCUGGCUGCUGAGCUCAGAGGCGACAGCUCUGGCAAGCAGAGCACAGCGCAUCUCGGGACACACACCGCGCCUGCCUGGGCUUGGGGAGGUUAUCAGGCAGUGCCUUAGGCCAGCCCAGGGCAGAGCUGCUGGCUUCUUAUCAACCUCCGCUAACUAAAAGACCAGUGAGGGAGGCACGGAGAGAUCCUCAGCUGCUGUUCUGGAAGCGCUGCCCUCUGUCCCCAACAUCCUGUCCAAUAGCCCAAAAAGCCAGGCCCCUCCCCUCUAGCUUCAGCCCUCAUGCUACCAGAUAGGCUGAUGUGGACCGAUGGGGAGGCGGGGGGCGCUCAGGGCGAAAGGAAGAAGGUUCUAGAUUCGAAUUCAAAACCCAAACAUUUGGUUGGUUGUGGUGGUUCACUUGAGGCCAGGAGUUCGAGACCAGCCUGGGCAACAUGGUGAAACCCUGUCUCUACAAAAAUACAAAA